rnacentral:rRNA from 1 species
AUUGAACGCUGGCGGCAGGCUUAACACAUGCAAGUCGAGCGGAGAUGAGGUGCUUGCACCUUAUCUUAGCGGCGGACGGGUGAGUAAUGCUUAGGAAUCAGCCUAUUAGUGGGGGACAACAUUCCGAAAGGAAUGCUAAUACCGCAUACGUCCUACGGGAGAAAGCAGGGGAUCUUCGGACCUUGCGCUAAUAGAUGAGCCUAGGUCGGAUUAGCUAGUUGGUGGGGUAAAGGCCUACCAAGGCGACGAUCUGUAGCGGGUCUGAGAGGAUGAUCCGCCACACUGGGACUGAGACACGGCCCAGACUCCUACGGGAGGCAGCAGUGGGGAAUAUUGGACAAUGGGGGGAACCGUGAUCCAGCCAUGCGGCGUGUGUGAAGAAGGCCUUAUGGUUGUAAAGCACUUUAAGCGAGGAGGAGGCUACUGAGACUAAUACUCUUGGAUAGUGGACGUUACUCGCAGAAUAAGCACCGGCUAACUCUGUGCCAGCAGCCGCAGUAAAAC